rnacentral:lncRNA from 1 species
UGUAUCAGUUGUUGAAACUUUAUUAUAAAUUAAAAUCAUACGUUCUGCCAUGAUUUCGAUUUAUGUACCCGAUUUGUAGGCGCGAUUUUUGCUCGUGGUUCAUCCUCGUUCGCGAUCUGUAAGAAAACGGGACGUUUCGAGUUUAAUUCCCUUAUUCCCGAAGAUGGCAUCGUCACAGAAAAUUAAAUUAGAGUUAAAUCAGGACUCCCGAAUAUUAUAUAUUUACAUAUAACUUAAUGUAAGGUUGUUAAAUCACGUCUGUCCAUUAAAAACGUGUCGAGACGCAUCCUUACCGUUAGAUCUACCAUAUCUUCACAGAUCGAUUUGAAUAGACCGACUGUAUAUUUAUAAAUCGCCUAGCAUAAGUCACGUGGGUCACAUCCAACGUCAUCAGUUCCCAUAGGCAACUUUGCAUGAGACCAAGCACUGAUUUUGUAGCUUUCUUUUGAAUAGCAUAUUCUCCUCUUCUAUGAUCUUCUUCUCUCUGUACAUCUCCCUAAGUCUAUUCCAUUGUCUCAUGUACAUGAAUCAUUGAGACUCCUGUGUUCCCCAUGUGGAUGUGCAGAGUAGCUCAGUUAUUAGCAUCUUUUUCACCUUUUAGAAAAGAAAACACAAUGUUUGAACAAUAUAUAGUUUCUGACAUGUUUAGUUCAAAUAUGACGAUUUCGCGCUUUGAGAGAUAGGUAGUACGCUACCCACUUUAUUUAUUUCAUUUAGAAAUAAACUUAGCUGGAAAUGUGAAUCAACUAGGAUUCGAACUUGGGUCUCAGGUAUCAAUCACUAAGCCCUUUGCCACUUGCUCGAGAGACGGUCGGUAAAAAAAAAGCACUUUAAAAAACUACUAACUUAAAAAAGCACUUCUUUAUUCA